AUUGAACGCUGGCGGCAGGCCUAACACAUGCAAGUCGAGCGAGCGGCGGACGGGUGAGUAAUGUAUGGGGACUGCCUGAUAGAGGGGGAUAACUACUGGAAACGGUAGCUAAUACCGUAUACUAUCAGAUAACCCAUAUGGGAUUAGCUUGUAGGUGAGGUAAAGGCUCACCUAGGCGACGAUCCCUAGCUGGUCUGAGAGGAUGAUCAGCCACACUGGAACUGAGACACGGCCCAGACUCCUACGGAGGCAGCAGUGGGGAAUAUUGCACAAUGGGCGCAAGCCUGAUGCAGCCAUGCCGCGUGUAUGAAGAAGGCCUUAGGGUUGUAAAGUACUUUCAGCGGGGAGGCGUUACCCACAGAAGAAGCACCGGCUAACUCCGUGCCAGCAGCCGCGGUAAUUC
rnacentral:rRNA from 1 species